rnacentral:rRNA from 1 species
UAGGGAAUCUUCCACAAUGGGCGAAAGCCUGAUGGAGCAACGCCGCGUGAGUGAUGAAGGUUUUCGGAUCGUAAAACUCUGUUGUUAGGGAAGAACACCCGAGAGAGGAUCUCGGACUGACGGUACCUAACGAGAAAGCCCCGGCUAACUACGUGCCAGCAGCCGCGGUAAUACGUAGGGGGCAAGCGUUGUCCGGAUUUACUGGGUGUAAAGGGUGCUCAGGCGGAUUUGUAAGUCAGAGGUGAAAUCUUACAGCUUAACUGUGAAACUGCCUUUGAUACUGCAAGCCUAGAGUAUGGAAGAGAGUGAUGGAAUAUCUGGUGUAGCAGUGAAAUGCGUAGAUAUCAGAUAGAACACCAAUGUCGAAGGCAGUCACUUGGUCCAUUACUGACGCUAAAGCACGAAAGCGUGGGUAGCAAACA